rnacentral:lncRNA from 1 species
ACGAGUAUAGCUAUCCCACAGGAGACGAAUGCCGGACAGGAUAACUUUGAGAAUAUGGAGAAACAGGUAGUUGACCAUAAUCAUGUUGUUGCUGCUGUUAUCCAUCUGCAUAAUUUGAUUGAGGAGCCAUUAAAGAUUGUCUCCAACUCCCACCGCCGCUUCUCUCCACGCUCGAAUGUGAUCAAGCAAAGCAACUCCCUCACCGAGUACAACCCCACUCCAUCCCUCCGUGCUCAAAGCUGGUUCCUGCUGCUGCGUCCAUUCCGAAGAAGUCGGCGAUUGUCACAAGCUGUCCCUGCUUCUCCAACGCUCGCACUCAAACUGAAGGUCGCCAUAGAAACAUAAUCGAGUCUGCACUCUCCACUUCUCUCCUUCUUUUCAAAAUAUGUCGACGCCACUGUUGCCUGGGAUAGACGUCGCACUGCUGCCAUGGUUCGCCGUCAUGCUUUCUCCGCUUCGGUCCCCACAUCCUGAAAUCCUGCGAGAAGCCUCUCAACUCCACUCCCUCUACGUUCCAAGCUGGUUCCGACUGUUGAUGCGCCCGACUAAAAAGAAGCCAAUGACUGCUGCAAAAACGAAGCCUGAAUUCCUCCAUCACCGCCAUCGCUGAACAGCUUCUUGUGCAGCGCCUCCUCCAAAUACUUCUUCGACGAUCGCUUCCCGAAGGUCUUCUUCUUUGCGAAUUGCUGCAUAAAUGUCGACGCCAUUGAUGGUAAUCCGGCGAGUUUAACCUCCAAGCUCCGCAUUUGUCUCCCUAGCUGGAAGCACAACACAUUCUCCGAUGGAUAGCACCAGCGAGGAGAGCCGCACCGCCGCCGCUUCUGGGGACUGCCGCUACGCGCGCAGCUCCGGUAAAACAGGGCAGCAACAAGGAGCCCAUCCCGCCGCUGCUUCUCUCCACACUCUACUUCAUUUAAAGUCAAGUGAUUAUAUACUGGAUCUCCAGUUAUCUGUGAAAAACAAUAAUAAAAAAAUCGCAGCAAAACUCGAUAGAAAACAAACUUGAAGUUGAUUAUUUUUCUGUCAGACAAUUCAUCGAACAUAUGGAGGGCAGACUACAGAAACAGAUUUCUUACAGUUAUGGGAAGAAGAACUCACCAAGAUUCAACCCCAACGCUGUCAACGAAAGAAAAUUGAAAGAGGAAGAGGAUUUCUGCGAUCCAAGCUUGAGUUUGUAGAAAAAAAAUAUGAACUUUAGCACUCCAUAUAUAGUGCUAGUUCCCUACAAUAGUUAGAAGUCUUUACUUGAAGGGGAACCUACGAAAUUCUUAUCAGAAUUAGCA